CACAGUAGUUUGCAACCCUGGUGAUGACCUGAGACCUUGUUUUCCACGGGUGCUGUUACACUGCUAUUGGAAGAACACCAGGAGAGGCUCAGCUUCUUAACAGACUGUCAGCGUAAGGCUUUCUCCUGGGCAUGAGACAGUGGCCAAGAUACAUACAGAGGCACAUUGGAAAUGCAGUAGAAAAUGGCUGCAGAUUUAAAACCAGAAGUUAAGAAGAGUGAACCCGAAUGUAUAGCAAGAGAGCUUCAGGCUGGACUGGCUUCCAGCAGAAGUGGGACUGGAAACCUUGGAUUCUGUUGCCUCUUCUCUGUGACGUGGGAAAACAUGGAGAACCUUGGCAUUUACCCAGAGAAACAUCCUAAUGUGUACCGCAGCAGGGCGUGGUAAAGAACCUAGAAACAUGUCAGUCAGUAGAAGGUGUGUUGGCCCCCAGAAAGCCAAGCAUUUGUCUGAUGAAGCAUGGAGUGGAUUCUGGCUUAUAGCUUUCAUCACUCGGCUGGGUCCUUUGUCAGCUGAAAAGGUAGCAGCUGAGAGCAUUAGCAGAAACAGUCGAUGGGCUAAGCUCUCUGUGAGAGCUGCAGACUCAAUCAAGGAGGGCUGGGAGCCCAGGUGUUGGCUGUCAUGAGAAGUCCACUUGCGGCAGUGGCAGUGAUCUUCAUAGACACAGGCUCACUGUGCUCAGAGCCCCAUUUUCCCACUGACACUGGCCAAGAUGCAUCCUGGCUGUGCGCAGACCCUGGAGAGAACGAACCGAUAGUGGCAACACUGGCACAGUGGCCAGCCAAGGAGGGAAAAGCAAAGCAAAGAGGACUGAGGCAAAGCAAAAAGAACUGAAGAUAUGAAGACACAUACCUCUACUGGGAAGAGCUCUUCAUAGAACAAGGACAAUGGCCAGCAAGGUGCCAUGCCUGAAAGUAUUCAAUCACCAAGUCCAGCUUCCUGGUCUUACCUAUGUCAUCGGAAGUGUGUAGAUUUUAGGCUAAAGGGCUACUUUGGUUCAAUAGGUGGAAACAAAAAUUCAUUAAGCAUCCUGGAAUUAUUGCUGAACUCAGGGAUGAGGGCAGCUUCGAUUUCUUCUCUGAACAUGGAAUUGUUUGCUGGAUUUUGCAGGCUUGACUCCUUGACUUCAGCAGUGCAGUUAUAGAAACAAGCCAGCAGCAGUGGCCACACCUAAGCUGGGUCGCGCCUUCGAGGCAAGUGUCCCUGCCAAGGUGGGAAAACCUGAGACGCUCCCCGGUGGGUGCAAAUAUGUGGGAGAAAAUUGAAUAAAAUUUCCCCUGGGGCGCCCCCCAGGAAGCAUGCUUCCUUCUCCACUCUCCAUUUGGCUCUCAUUUUCAGUUCCUCUGUGUCUAGGCAAAACCUUUAUGUUGUUUAAAAUGAAAUUAGAACCGAAAGGAAGCAGGGAGCAGUUGUGGCCAAAGAUGACACUGAAAAAAGGUGGAAAUUGGUGGCAGCACCAGGUUUUCCCUGCUGGAGUUCGCACCCCUAAAAUAAGCAGGCAGAAAGUUGGGAGGAAAGCAGAGCUGCAGGCCGCUCAGUCACUGGGUUCCACCAUGGGAUACCCAGUGCCGUGCUGACCCCAGAGCAGAUCCAGACUCUCCUCCCGACUCCCUCACCCCUUCCUCUCCUUUGGGGGUCCUCACAGCACCCCCUACCCCCAGCUCUUACCCAUGCAAUGCACAGGCCCUUCCCUAGUUCUGAAGGGAUUUAUGC